UCCAGACUCCUACGGGAGGCAGCAGUGAGGAAUAUUGGUCAAUGGGCGAGAGCCUGAACCAGCCAAGUCGCGUGAGGGAGUACUGCCCUAUGGGUUGUAAACCUCUUUUGUCGGGGAGCAAAAGCCGGACGUGUCCGGCUGUGAGAGUACCCGAAGAAAAAGCAUCGGCUAACUCCGUGCCAGCAGCCGCGGUAAUACGGAGGAUGCGAGCGUUAUCCGGAUUUAUUGGGUUUAAAGGGUGCGUAGGCGGGAUGCCAAGUCAGCGGUAAAAAUGCGGUGCUCAACGCCGUCGAGCCGUUGAAACUGGCGUUCUUGAGUGGGCGAGAAGUAUGCGGAAUGCGUGGUGUAGCGGUGAAAUGCAUAGAUAUCACGCAGAACUCCGAUUGCGAAGGCAGCAUACCGGCGCCCUACUGACGCUGAGGCACGAAAGCGUGGGUAUCGAACAGGAUUAGAUACCCCGGUA
rnacentral:rRNA from 1 species